rnacentral:rRNA from 1 species
GACGAACGCUGGCGGCGUGCUUAACACAUGCAAGUCGAACGGAAAGGCCCUGCUUUUGUGGGGUGCUCGAGUGGCGAACGGGUGAGUAACACGUGAGUAACCUGCCCUUGACUUUGGGAUAACUUCAGGAAACUGGGGCUAAUACCGGAUAGGAGCUCCUGCUGCAUGGUGGGGGUUGGAAAGUUUCGGCGGUUGGGGAUGGACUCGCGGCUUAUCAGCUUGUUGGUGGGGUAGUGGCUUACCAAGGCUUUGACGGGUAGCCGGCCUGAGAGGGUGACCGGGCACAUUGGGACUGAGGUACGGCCCAGACUCCUACGGGAGGCAGCAGUGGGGAAUAUUGCACAAUGGGCGGAAGCCUGAUGCAGCAACGCCGCGUGCGGGAUGACGGCCUUCGGGUUGUAAACCGCUUUCGCCUGUGACGAAGCGUGAGUGACGGUAAUGGGUAAAGAAGCACCGGCUAACUACGUG